rnacentral:rRNA from 1 species
AUUGAACGCUGGCGGCAUGCCUUACACAUGCAAGUUGAACGGUAACAGGCCGCAAGGUGCUGACGAGUGGCGAACGGGUGAGUAAUGCAUCGGAACGUGCCCAGUCGUGGGGGAUAACGCAGCGAAAGCUGCGCUAAUACCGCAUACGAUCUCUGGAUGAAAGCGGGGGACCGAAAGGCCUCGCGCGAUUGGAGCGGCCGAUGUCAGAUUAGGUAGUUGGUGGGGUAAAGGCCCACCAAGCCAACGAUCUGUAGCUGGUCUGAGAGGACGACCAGCCACACUGGGACUGAGACACGGCCCAGACUCCUACGGGAGGCAGCAGUGGGGAAUUUUGGACAAUGGGCGCAAGCCUGAUCCAGCAAUGCCGCGUGCAGGAAGAAGGCCUUCGGGUUGUAAACUGCUUUUGUACGGAACGAAACGGUCCUGGUUAAUACCUGGGGCUAAUGACGGUACCGUAAGAAUAAGCACCGGCUAACUACGUGCCAGCCGCCGCCGUAAAAC